UGUAACUAUGAAACUAAUGUAUUAAAUAAGAGUAUUAUUGUACAAUUAGAAACAAUAAUGUUUGAUAAAUAUAAAAUAGAAUGGAGUAAUAGAGUAUCUGCGUAUGCUCAAGGUAAUAAAUUAAGAACUUAUAAGUUAUUUAAACAUGAUUAUUGUACUGAACCUUACUUAAAGUAUAAAAUGCCACUUAAAUUUAGAAGUUCUUUUGCUAAGUUUAGAUGCGGAGUUGCUCCCCUUAGAAUAGAAACGGGUAGAUAUGAAAGAAAAGAAAUACACGAAAGAACAUGUUUUUAUUGGAAUGAUAGUAUUGAAGAUGAACUACAUGUUUUAUUGAAAUGUCCACUAUAUGAAGAUCUUAGACAUAUAUUGUUUUAUGAAGUUUCAAAUUUUAAUGUGGAUUUUA
rnacentral:lncRNA from 1 species